rnacentral:rRNA from 1 species
GCCAUCCUUGGGAUACCACCCUUGUAGUACUGGGACUCUAACCAUAGGCUAUGAAUCUGGUCUUGGGACACUGUCAGGUGGGCAGUUUGACUGGGGCGGUCGCCUCCCAAAAGGUAACGGAGGCGCUCAAAGGUUCUCUCAGUACGGUCGGAAAUCGUACGUAGAGUGUAAAGGCAAAAGAGAGCUUGAUUGCAAGACAUACAGGUCGAGCAAGGAUGAAAAUCGGACUUAGUGAUCCGGUGGUUCUGCGUGGAAGGGCCAUCGCUCAACGGAUAAAAGCUACCCUGGGGAUAACAGGCUUAUCUCCCCCAAGAGUCCACAUCGACGGGGAGGUUUGGCACCUCGAUGUCGGCUCAUCACAUCCUGGGGCUGUCGUAGGUCCCAAGGGUUGGGCUGUUCGCCCAUUAAAGUGGUACGCGAGCUGGGUUCAGAACGUCGUGAGACAGUUCGGUCCCUAUCCGUCGCAGGCGUAGGAAAUUUGCGAAGACCUGUCCUUAGUAC